AUACGUAGGGGGCAAGCGUUAUCCGGAUUUACUGGGUGUAAAGGGUGCGUAGGCGGCCACCUAAGUCUAAAGUGAAAUUUCGGGGCUCAACCCCGGAGCUGCUUUGGAAACUGGGAGGCUAGAGUAUAGGAGAGGAAAGCGGAACUCCACGUGUAGCGGUGAAAUGCGUAGAGAUGUGGAGGAACACCAGUAGCGAAGGCGGCUUUCUGGACUAUUACUGACGCUGAGGCACGAAAGCGUGGGGAGC
rnacentral:rRNA from 1 species